rnacentral:lncRNA from 1 species
GGGCUUGGAUCACAGACAAAAGAAACAGGGCAUGGGGGAUCUUUUAUUGUUUUCUUCAAGUUGGAGAGAUUGCUACUUUGCUUAGAACAAAAGGAAAUACAUGAUUGUAGCUUGUACCCAAAAAAAAAAAAAAAAAAAAAACCUUAAAAAAACCCAAAACCAAAACAACAAAACAUAAAAACAAAACCCAAUCCAUGCUAAGUGGUUAGGGACAGGCAAGAUGAUCUCUGUAACCUCGAGUGGCCAGCCGCAUGCAGCACUCUUGCCCUGUUUCCCAUGGUUAGCUGCUGCCAGGCUGUUUAUACUUCUAAUGCCAUCCACCACCUGUGGCUAGCCUACAGUGAGCUGGCUGCCACUCACACUUCCCCUUUACCUCUUAGAAUAAUAACACAAAAGACUUGUAAUAUGCCAGCCAAAUUUAUUAGGGGAAAUCUACAAGCACAAAGUGCCCAUGCAAGCAAUACAAAACUCAACACAUAUAAAUAAAACCUGCACACUUAGAUCAGGAAAAUGUACCUACAUUACUCUAUUUCCUAUUUAUGAAAUCCCCAGGUAUUUAUGGACCUUAGGGCCCUGUAGUCUAGCACCAUCUUCCUAUUCCUCCAUUUUUGUCCUCCGUUCCCUCUCUCUUCUCCAUCACACUUCCACUCUCUAAUAUUUCAGAUCUGCCUUUCUUCCCAAUUGUCCAAUAAGAGCCUCUAGCCUUAUCUGACCAAUUAAUAUUUCACCUGACUGAACCUGUGUUUAGGGACUCUUGAGGGAGCAGAAAACACAAACAGCAAUCCACAACUUUCCCCCUACCCCAUUUUGUCCAAUUAAAAGGCUCUGAACACAGAACUGCCAGUGGUAACAUCAGAGCCCUGCAUACAUGCCUGGCAGCAUAGGACAAUGAGUAUGCGCAGAUCAGGCACUGUACUUAGACAUCUCCUGAGAUUUCUCCAAUCAACUGGACAUGAUCCUGGCCAUCUAAAACAGCACCUUCUCUGGAAGGACAAAAGCCAACUGCAGGAGGUGUGGGGAUGCCUCACAGAUAAGAGCAUCUGCUACUCUCUAGAAGACCCACAUGGUGCCUAACAUCCAUCUCCAGGAAUGGUUGUGGUUCCUUCUUCUGUCCUCUGAGGGAAAUGUCCCUCAGGAGGAGCCACAUACAGUAUUAUAUUCAGUAGGAAAGACACCCAUUCACAUAAAUGUUAAACAUAAGUCUAAUCAGCAACAGCAAAAACACAGCAAGUUUAUGGCCAAGGACAACAGCAUCUAUCAAAAGCUAUUUCCCAGCAAGCCAUGGAAGGUCAUUAUAUCUGCUAUGUGGUUAUCACUUGAUAAAGACCAGCUUCAAGAUCGCCCUAAAGAAACAGAUGGACUACCGCUCUAGUGGCAAGUAGGAAAGUUUUACUGAUUUCUACAGCUUAAAAACAUGGGGUAUGACUUUGCAAAUUUUGCUCAAAAAUAACAUUUUUACUUAGUUGCAUCUGGCAAACAAUAUUAUCAAUUUUGGGGUCAUUUUCUCAUAACAACAAUGAAUUUCAGAAGAAGAAACUGUUAUCUGAAGACCCAAGGACAUCUUCCUCCCAGGGUAAAUAUUAACUCUUGACUAGGAACAAGGAAAAACUCUGGCUCACAGAAAGUCAUGUUUAGACAUCCCUCCCUUUCCCCAGUUAACGGCUCUGACCCUUUCAGGCCAGAACCAAAGGGAAGCCAUUGUUCUCCUCAAUCACUGAUGCUCUAUUGCAAGUAAACUGAGGCAGCUGGCUCUGGCCUUCCUGAUUUAUUUUAUAUUCCUUUCUGAGUGUUUUUAUAUCUGCAGCAGCUCUAGAACAAUGGCUGUAUAUUACUCAGUAUCUGGUUCACGGGAUCAUGAAUGAAUGUGUUUUAUAGAGUGCUAUAUGUUAGGAGUAAGAGAAUUCAUGACACCAUGGAUGCAGUAUGGCAGUGAUUACAUCUUCAAGUGUGUGUCCCUGGGGUAAGUAAAAUUAUCGACACAAAAAAUCAUCACCUUGUAUACCCCUAGGUGGCUAGGCUAUGACUUUAUUAUACAGCCCUGGCUGCCUGGAACUUACAAAGAUACAUCUCUGGAUGUGAGUUCUAGGUCUACAGCAGGGGAUAGAACACCUGAAUAAAGAAGAUGGUCUCAAGAGUCACUACUUGCAAAUCAAUUUUUCUGCAUAAGAAAUAGAAUUUUUAAAAAAUAGGUUUUAAAAGUUCAAUUAAUAUAGAGAUAAAGGCAAAAACAAACAAUGAAAUACAAGAACAAGAACAUAUAACUUCUAAAUAACAUAAAAAUAACUC